UUUUUUUUUUUAUUUUUNUUACGUCAGGACGAACGCUGGCGGCGUGCUUAACACAUGCAAGUCGAACGAUGAAGCCCUUCGGGGUGGAUUAGUGGCGAACGGGUGAGUAACACGUGGGCAAUCUGCCCUGCACUCUGGGACAAGCCCUGGAAACGGGGUCUAAUACCGGAUAUGACCAUCUUGGGCAUCCUUGAUGGUGUAAAGCUCCGGCGGUGCAGGAUGAGCCCGCGGCCUAUCAGCUUGUUGGUGAGGUAACGGCUCACCAAGGCGACGACGGGUAGCCGGCCUGAGAGGGCGACCGGCCACACUGGGACUGAGACACGGCCCAGACUCCUACGGGAGGCAGCAGUGGGGAAUAUUGCACAAUGGGCGAAAGCCUGAUGCAGCGACGCCGCGUGAGGGAUGACGGCCUUCGGGUUGUAAACCUCUUUCAGCAGGGAAGAAGCGAAAGUGACGGUACCUGCAGAAGAAGCGCCGGCUAACUACGUGCCAGCAGCCGCGGUAAUACGUAGGGCGCGAGCGUUGUCCGGAAUUAUUGGGCGUAAAGAGCUCGUAGGCGGCUUGUCACGUCGGUUGUGAAAGCCCGGGGCUUAACCCCGGGUCUGCAGUCGAUACGGGCAGGCUAGAGUUCGGUAGGGGAGAUCGGAAUUCCUGGUGUAGCGGUGAAAUGCGCAGAUAUCAGGAGGAACACCGGUGGCGAAGGCGGAUCUCUGGGCCUGAUACUGACGCUGAGAGCGANAAGAGCGUA
rnacentral:rRNA from 1 species